UACAGAGGCCCCGAGCGUUAUCCGGAAUUAUUGGGCGUAAAGGGUGUGUAGGUGGUUGUAUUAGUCGACUGUGAAAGAUCUGGGCUUAACCCAGGGAACGCAAUCGAAACGGUAUGACUUGAGUGUGUGAGAGGUGAACGGAACUCAUGGAGUAGGGGUGAAAUCCGUUGAUAUCAUGGGGAACACCAAAUGCGAAGGCAGUUCACUGGCACAUUACUGACACUGAGACACGAAAGCGUAGGUAGCGAAUGGG
rnacentral:rRNA from 1 species